UGCCGUGGUAGUGGAGGAUAAAACUAGAUUAUCUCUUGAGGACCAUCACAGAUCAAUGUAGUCUUUGUCAAAUUUAAAAAGAAUUUCAACAUAAUGAUAGAGACACAAUCAGAACUGUGAGUGUAUUUCUGACAAGAACUAAACUGCAAGAAUAGCAGUCAUCAAACCACGAAGACCCUGUGAAUACAACUGACUGAAGUCUGACAGGAGUAGCACCACCUGCUGGUAGAAAACACAAUCAGGGUGUUCAUUGCCUGUGAAAAAAAAAAAUCUAAGCGUGUCCUGGUAGAAUCACGAGAAGUUGAGGUCACGAGCGUGUUGUACAUACCAAUUGGGAAUUGCCGCGCGCAGAUUGACACACACACACCCCUCAGCUGAUCUUUGCCGGCACACGUCGAUCAUCUGCUGAACACUGACGCUCCCAAGGCACUUUCAUGAGUCCACCUCGUGCAAAGCACAGAUGGCGCGGCCAUGCCUGCGUCCCCUGGUCCCGAGCGAUCACUGCUCGUGGGGCUACACUACACACCCGGGACAGUUCCCCGCGUCCAGGCAUUUCGUCG
rnacentral:lncRNA from 1 species